ensembl:snRNA U2 U2 spliceosomal RNA
AUCGCUUCUCGGCCUUUUGGCUAAGAUCAAGUGUAGAAACUUUCCAGGACCAAAUCCACCACAUCAGUUUUCUUGGAUCUUAAUGUCAGGAAGAGCUAUACUAUUCUGAGCAAUCAAUAUGCUUUUAGUUUAAUACCUUUUUUUUGCUUUGGUUGCUAGGAAGCUCGACACUGAGUUCAUGUACCUACUUUGUAAGUAAAUGGGUUCAUAGAAAAUUUA